rnacentral:lncRNA from 1 species
UUUUUUAUCAAUAAAUCUGGUAUAAUUGGUAUUGUUUUGUUUUGCAUCAUAAUACAAAUUUUCAUAAAAUAGUUAUAUAUUGUUAUAUAUUUUCAUGUUAUGUAAAACUUCUUUAACAUAGAUAGAUUUAUGUAACAUAGACACCCGAAAAUUGCGAUAUAGGUUGACAUCUAUUUCAAAUGAUAUCAAAAAUUAACUUUGAAUGUGUAUGUAAAAACACUGGCAACCAGCUUGUAUGCCAAUAUAUAAAAGUCUCAUUGACCCAUGUUUCAGUGUAUGCUGAUGUAGCUUCUAAAAUGUGAGAGGGCAAGGAAAUUAGACGUUACAGUACUUUUCACAAACUAAUCUGGCUUUAGUCUAUAUACUACAAGAAGUAAUAAGAAAAAUCAAUUUCAGAAGAUUACCAAUCCUUUCUUCCUGGCAUCUUUUAAAAACUCUUAAAAGUGAAUUUGGCAUUGACAGAUACUAAAUGGCGAUAAUUAUGUUAUAUCAGCAAAACGAGUAAUGAACAGUUUUAGUCUUCAACGGUUGAAAUUACUCAGCAAACAUGAAUUCAUUGAAGAAACUGAUUGUCGUUGCUCUAGCAUAAAGAUCGUUGCACGAUCGACCUGAUAAAAGAUGAAAUUACUUAUAUAUGUGAUUAAUUAAAAAAAGACAAUUAGUUUGUAAAUAAUCAGGUGAAUGGUAGCCUUUAUUAUAUGGCUGGUUGUGUUCAGCACAGGAUGUUGUGCAUAGUUAAUGUAACAAUAUCAGUUUUUCAGUUCCAAAAUUAAAAAUUAUGUUUCACAUAGUAAA